ensembl:piRNA 21ur-353 ncRNA
UGCAUUGGGAUUUGCUUUCUU